AGAGUUUGAUCCUGGCUCAGAUUGAACGCUGGCGGCAUGCCUAACACAUGCAAGUCGAACGGUAACAGGCGGAGCUUGCUCUGCGCUGACGAGUGGCGGACGGGUGAGUAAUGCUUAGGAAUCUGCCCAGUAGCGGGGGACAACAAUCGGAAACGGUUGCUAAUACCGCAUACGCCCUACGGGGGAAAGCAGGGGAUCUUCGGACCUUGCACUAUUGGAUGAGCCUAAGUCAGAUUAGUUUGUUGGUGGGGUAAUGGCCUACCAAGGCGACGAUCUGUAGCUGGUCUGAGAGGACGAUCAGCCACACUGGAACUGAGACACGGUCCAGACUCCUACGGGAGGCAGCAGUGGGGAAUAUUGCACAAUGGGCGCAAGCCUGAUGCAGCAAUGCCGCGUGUGUGAAGAAGGCUUUAGGGUUGUAAAGCACUUUCAAUAGAGAAGAAAAGCUUAGAGUUAAUAACUCUAAGCAUUGACGUAACCUAUAGAAGAAGCACCGGCUAAAUCCGUGCCAGCAGCCGCGGUAAUACGGAUGGUGCGAGCGUUAAUCGGAAUUACUGGGCGUAAAGCGUACGUAGGCUGUUUUAUAAGUCGGAUGUGAAAUCCCCGGGCUCAACCUGGGAACUGCAUCCGAAACUAUUUAACUAGAGUAUGGGAGAGGUAAGUAGAAUUUCCGGUGUAGCGGUGAAAUGCGUAGAUAUCGGAAGGAAUACCAGUGGCGAAGGCGGCUUACUGGACCAAUACUGACGCUGAGGUGCGAAAGCGUGGGGAGCGAACAGGAUUAGAUACCCUGGUAGUCCACGCCGUAAACGAUGAGAACUAGACGUUGGGAGGGUGAGCCUUUCAGUGUCGCAGCUAACGCAUUAAGUUCUCCGCCUGGGGAGUACGACCGCAAGGUUGAAACUCAAAGGAAUUGACGGGGACCCGCACAA
rnacentral:rRNA from 1 species